ACAUUCCAUUCUGAAAAAAGCUUCGCGGGCCACAUGUGGCCAUGGUUUGGCUACCCAUGGUGUAGAGUGUUUAAACCUACAUAGAUUUGAAUAAUAAUCGCAAAAUUACCAAUAAUUUUGCAUUACUUAUGCUUAUAAAGUGUGCAUUCCAGAUUGUUCAGUUUUAUUAUUAUUCUAGCCCCCGUUAUUCUAGCUUAGGGUUACCAUCAAGGUUGCCAUUUUUUUUAAAUUUGUCAUAAAAAAUUUUUGAAUUCUGUGAUUUGAACCUAAAAUUCUGUAACGGUUUUCUGUGACCCUAUUAUGAAGUUCAUUGGUUCAUCAACAAAUUAGAAACUUUUUGCAGUUUUAAUAGAAUUGGGGUUAGUUUAUUUCUACUAUAAAGUUUUUUCCUGACGAUUCCAUGCGAUUGAAGCCAGUAACAGUCACCACAAGUGAUAUUAGAAUCUUCCAUGCGUUAGUGCAUAUAUUAUCGAAUGAAGCAAGGAUGGCGAAUUUUUCAGAGAUUAUCCAACGACUCUCUGGAGCCACCACCCUUGCGAAAAAUACUUUUCGAAUUUUCUAUUGUUCUUUUACUUUGAUCGGUCAAACCAAAUUCGGCUCUCCUUUAACACAUAGCAGGAGUUUACUUUCCAAUAGCGCUAGUACACUCGCUACUAGCAGUGAUGCCAGCCUUUAAGACCUCGAAAAUAGUUGCAAAUUUUUAUAAUACAGAACAAAAUCUAACAAGAUUAAAUUUCCCUACGAAUUGUUAUAGUUUGCAACCAAACGACAUUCUGAUAGUCUGCAGCGUAUCAAGCGAUAUCUAUACCGUAUACAGCAUUUUAACAACAUUCAUUUUAAACAUUAUUUUCAGUUCAUCGUUAUCAUUCAUUAAUAAAAUCUUAGCUUUAUUUCCUUAGUUACCAGAAUCUCCAUCUUAACUGUUUUAUUUAAAUUCUCCCCAUUCCAGGUGCCACCAAGACCGAUUUACCGGCCGGAGUGCUGUACCGGGUGAAGGCCACCUACAAGUACGUUCAGGAGGACGUGGACGAGCUGAGCUUCGACGUCGGUGACAUCAUCAACGUCAUCGAGUACGAGGACCCGGAGGAUCAGGAGGAAGGUUGGCUGAUGGGUAUCCGAGAGGGUUCCAACGACAAGGGCAUGUUCCCAGCCAACUUCACCCGGCCCCUGUAGAUCUGUGCCUCGGAAACAAAUGUUUAGAGACGUAUUGAAAAAAAAAAGAUUUGUGAGAAAGGAGAAAAUACGGAAACAACGUGCAAAUGCCAAUUUUGAUAGCCUGUAUUAUCAAGAGCUAAUCCAGAAACAACAGAAACACGUUACACAUCUACUACAUUGUAUAUUGAUAAACUGAUGAUCCUAACGAAAUGCGCGUGCCGCAAGAAGUUGAACAUAAGAAGGAUUCACUAACCAGUUUAGGAUAGAACAAGAGUCAUCUUAAAAAAACCCUAAAAGCAGAACAAACUCGAAAUCGAUUGCUAAUCAUAUGUAUAAUAGUGGUGUAGUAGCGGGUAGACGAAAUCAAACAAAAAUCACAAAUGAUAGGGCGAAAUUAGCAGGUGAAUUGUUGGAAGAAUGACGACGUGCCUUUAGACAUUUUUACUCUCGAAAGUCAAAAGAUAAAAUUGUGGCAAAGUGAAGAGGACCAGAAUCAAUAUAUCCGACGAUUGGACGAAAGAAGAACCUCCACGUUUUUAAUUUACUUUUUAAAUUUUGGUCUCUGUCUUCCAGUUUUGAGUGACAACUUUUAUCCGCUGUACGAAAAAGCUUGCUUUUUCAAAGUCUUCCUGUAUGAUUUAUCUAGAUCGAACCCUUUCAGCUACGAAAACCGAAAUAUUUACUAUCUACUUUAAUUUAUUCGAAAUGUAUAUAGACUACUAGGAAAGUCGAAUCCGAAAUGCAAGUUUUAAGCACACUUUCUGAACAUACACUAGCGAGGGCAUUCGAUCCUGAUUGAAUUGCCUUCGAACUCUGGCCAAAAUCUCUGACUGCAAAAAUUACUCUCAAAAUUGCCAAUCCCCCAACACAAAAGCACCGUGCAUUUUCCAAUAAAAUCUUUCCAACUGUAACAUCACUUUAACACACAAGGUGAGUGAAUUGUUAAAAAAAAGUGUCUCUCUCUCUCUGUAACUUUUUCCUCUGUCUGUUUCGUUUAAAACUCCCUGAUGUGUUGCACAAUUUUUUCCAACCUUUUUCACAAAGUGUGUGUGAACCAUUUGUGUUAAGGUGUGUCACGUCAUGAUUUUCUACAUCGAUACGAAUAGGUUGAUAUCGAUUUCAAACGUUUCCCUAUCCUAAUUCUACGUUUCACACCGGAAAAAAUACAUAACGAAACUAACUUACUUUGAAAACUGCACGGUCCGAGUAUGACGGGAAAAAAUAUAAUGCAUUUUUAGUAGGAGAAAACUAACCAAACAAUCAAAUAAAUCGUUGAUCGAGUACGAUAGAAAACACGAAAAAGCACAUUACAAUAGAAUGAAUAUUGGCACCUCCUAGUUGAAUAAAAUGAAAAUUUGUAGCGAAAAAUCCCACAGAUAUAAUUCCCAGAAACAAAAACAAACUCCACAUAGACAUUCUUAUUCAAGUACGAAGUAGGUACGACAAACCUCCACAUCUCCCCCCGCUCUUUUUCAAUUCCACAACCAUGUAAAGUCAGCCAGCCCAAAAAUGUCCCGUUCUAAUGUGUCAUCAUACAAAACAUGUUAAAAAUAUACAUACACAUACGUUUUUUCUUUUUUGUUUUCUGGUAGUCGUUAGUCGAGCGAAUGUUAUUGUGUAGAUCUUCUGCUCCUUUAUUAUUAUUAUUAUUACAUUACUAUCAUUAAAUGCUAUUAAUACUACUACACUUAUUAUUAUUUGAAUCACACACUUGUUUUUAUUAUAUUUGAAAACUUUUAUUUUAAAAUGAAACAAAUAAUUAAUUGAAAAUGUAGGUUGAAUAAUGAUUUGAAGCAAAGAAAGCAAACAAAACAAAAACGUUGCAUAACACGCGGUCGAGUCGACGAGACAAAUUAUCAAAUACAGCAUGUUGAAGAAAGGCAACUGAAAGAAAUUUGAACAUUUGAAUACCUGAGUUAGGUACAUAGCUGUCAUUAUCGCUCGCUGAUCGUCUCGACCAUGGAAAGUGUAGAUUGUCACAAACAAAUUAAAAAAGAAAAAAAAACUAAAUCCGCAAAACCGCAAAAUAAAAGAGGAUGCAACCGAAUCGGAGCAAAGCGGAAGGAGAAAAUGUAAGCGAUGAGGAAAAAAUAAAUCGUCAAUGAGAAUGAUGCAAAACAAGAACUAAUAAAAACAAUAAUACGGUUAAGUUAACGAAUUAAAUAAACGUGAAAAUUGUGAAA